CUCCCAAUCAUCCUGCUGACCUCCUGGCAGAGCUGCUGGAAGGCUUCAUGCACUCCCUCACAGUUCUCCCGGGCUGAAACUUCAUAGUACAGGCAGAAACCUCUCUGACUGCUGGGGAAUGUACAAGGGACAGGAGAAAUUUCCACUGUGUCAAGCUUCUAGGUGGCCGGAAGAGUUUCAGCCCUGGUAAAAAAGAGCCAGGUAUGUUAAGCAAGACCAUGGAGAAUAUUCUAUAUGAGCAAAGACGUUCCUAGAAGAAUACAGAUCUGCUGGCUUGCUCCAAAAGAGAGCAACACAAUCAACAGAAACAGAAGUUAAAGCCCUUCUGGGUAACCAAAUGUUGUGCCAGCGCUGAGGAACUCCAGAAGGAUCUCACAAAAGCGACUGAGUGCGCACAAAGUCGGCAGGUGAGCUUUAGUCUAGAUAAACGUAAGGUGUUGCAUCUAGAGAAAAAUAAUAUAAUUGAUGCUGAACUUGGGUGUGGCACUCAGAC